GUUACUUAGGCUUCUAAUAAAGCCACCCACAUGGCGACACAUGAAGCCACAUGCCCAAGAUUGUGGGCUUUAAAUUUAAGAGGAGAUUAUGGGGAAUAUGCCUUGCAUUUGGAGAAGUGAUUUUGCGGCGCCAAAAAGCACUUUGAAAUCUAGAAGAUUGAUCAUAGAUGCAUUGUCCUUCAACGCGGUUUUUGAAUAUUUAUUCAUUGGUGUGAAUAGAACUGUUUUUUGUACUAAACUUACUAAAUGGGAGAAUGAG
rnacentral:lncRNA from 1 species